GACAGAGGUGCCAAGCGUUAGGCGGAAUCACUGGGCUUAAAGCGUGUGUAGGCGGACUUGUAAGUACCUUGUGAAAUCCCACGGCUUAACCGUGGAACUGCUUGGUAUACUGGUUGUCUUGGGCCAUCUAGGGGCUACUGGAACAAACGGUGGAGCGGUGAAAUGCGUAGAUAUCGUUUGGAACGCCAAUGGUGAAAACAAGUAGCUGGGGAUGUGCCGACGCUGAGACACGAAAGCCAGGGGAGCGAACGGG
rnacentral:rRNA from 1 species